rnacentral:piRNA from 1 species
UUGGUGCUCCCAUGUGUACUUAGACUUGGU